AUUCACAUAAGUACUUUAAUCAGGCACUUUGACAAGAAGAAAAAAACAUCUGGCACAUCAGGGAAGAUAUAUGAUAUGCGUAGACAUUCGGGGGAACAUGUAUACUAUGGGCUACAUUCGGUAAGAAAGAGGAUGUAAAAUUGUAUAAAUAACAAACUGUAGAAACUGGUGAAUGGACAAAGUAAAAGCUCAAAACAACAUGAUAUCCCAGCUUCUUAAUUUCAGACAUAUAUAGCCUUGUGUUUUAGGGGCAAUUUAACAUGGCUUAACAAACACUUUUAAAGGUUUCUAAGUUGGAGUGAGUGCGUCCCAAAUGGCACCCGAUUCUCUACAUGGUGCACUACUUUUAUAGCACACUAUAGGGAAUAAAGUGCUAUUUGGAAUAUAGCGUCUGUGUCUCAAGGUAUUACUGUAGUUUCUCAGAGCCAAUAAAGGUAACGUUUCUUCAACUAACAUGUUCACAAUUCAAAAUGGCAUGAAGGCUCACAAACUGUCAGGCUAGAAGAAGCUCCAAUGUGACAAAUGAAGGAAAAUGUCACACAGGUCUACAUGGGUUGCGUCCUAAAUGGCACCCUAUUCCUUAUUUAGUGAACUAAUGUAUAGGGAAGUGCACUCCUUUUGCGGAGAAAAAGACCCCCAUAGGGCCCUGGUCAAAAGUAGUGCACUAUAUAGGGAAAUUGGUGUUAUGUUAUGGUACCAAGAAAUGGUGCAUCGUCAGACACUAGUUAUUAGCCAGUUACACCUAACUAUUAGUGAAAACUAAUAAUACUGUAAAUUAACAAUACUGAUAAUUUAAAAUACUGUAGCUCAGAGAAGGAACUAAGAGAAAACUAAAAAGCAACGCCAGCAUUUUAGUUAGUGCUCUGGUCUCAGUCCUGCAUGUGAUUUGAAAAGCAGUAUUUCAGAGAUUAAUCUGGCUAUGUGCAACACAAUGUCCCCUGCAAAGAAAUUAUGAAAAUAUCUGUUGCAACGAGCUCCUCCUGGUUCAGAAUGCUGGAGAGAAUCCCAUCGAUACUAAGAUGAACUUAGUGAGCUACAGUCUGUCAGACGGACACACACAACCCCUACUCAAACCUCAAGAGGUACACAGACAACCCCUACUCAAACCUCAAGAGGUACACAUACAACCCCUACUCAAACCUAAAGAGGUACACACACAACCCCUACUCAAACCUCAAGAGGUAUACACACAACCCCUACUCAAACCUCAAGAGGUACACACACAACCCCUACUCAAACCUCAAGCGUUACACACACAACCCCUACUCAAACCUCAAGAGGUACACACAACCCCUACUCAAACCUCAAGAGGUACACACACAACCCCUACUCAAACCUCAAGAGAGGUACACACAACCCCUACUCAAACCUCAAGAGGUACACACACAACCCCUACUCAAACCUCAAGAGGUAUACACACAACCCCUACUCAAACCUCAAGAGGUACACACACAACCCCUACUCAAACCUCAAGAGGUAUACACACAACCCCUACUCAAACCUCAAGAGGUACACACAACCCCUACUCAAACCUCAAGAGGUACACACACAACCCCUACUCAAACCUCAGGGUUGUCCACAAAGAAUGUAAGCGGGGCGCUGCGCCACAAUGUGUACUGGCUGUGUCACUAUAUAUAUAUAUAUAUAUAUAUAAAUAAAAUAAAUUGGUUUACCCCACCGUACUCAGCAGCACCACCUUGUUAAAAAAAUCCUGGGGAGAAUUCAAACCUCACAGGUCACACACAACCCCUACUCAAACCUCAUGUCAGCUGUUUUGUCUUCUGUCUGUCUGGAUGGUUCGACUACCACUACAAUAACAACUAGACCUGUCUGUCUGGAUGGUAAGACUGCCACUACAAUAACAACUAGACCUGUCUGUCUGGAUGGUAAGAC
ensembl:lncRNA